CAGAAUAUCUCGCCGUCUUCUUUAUUUGGCAAACUCUCUAGAAGGAUCAAAUGCAAACACUGUUGAGAUUAUAAUCCAUAUAAAUCUGACUUCCUUGUCAACGUUCAAAUUUCAUCUUUCUUCUAUUCAAAUUCCCGCACCAGCUCAGAGCACAUUUUCUUUUUUCUUUGUUUUCAAGGAAAGGGAAAGAAGAGCAAUCAGGGAGAUUAUGCUUUGUCACUUUGUUACGUCAUCAUGAAAGUCUCACGUUUGCCACGAUGUAUUUUGGUAGAAGAUUGUGAGAGGGCCGUCAUCCAAUACUACUCAACCAUUUAUAUAUGGUAGGCAAGUUUCGUUACUAUGACCCUACCAAGUUGCCAGAGCUCCCGUCACGGAUAAGACAAGAUUCAUGCGCCAUCAUCGCUAGGGGGUUAUCCUUGUGUCAUCGCGUUCGUGAAAUAUCAGCUUGUGCCAAUAGGCCACAAUCACUGGUGAUCAGCGAUCCCCCAUAGUUUUGCAUUAGCAUUAUCAUUAGGGUCAUUCAGGAAAAACAAAAUCAUCAAAACAAUCACAUUUUUUAGGCUUGCAAUGGGAAGUACCCUGGUAUGUCUUGUAGAUUUUUGGUUGAAGUUGGGUGAGUAUGUGUAUAAUGUGUAUGUCUGAUUACUCUUGUAAUUGUUUAUUUCACACGACAAAGUAAUUUUUACUGUGGGCUACUUGAUUUUCUCA